rnacentral:rRNA from 1 species
AUGUCAGGGUCGGAUCACAGAAUUCACGUGCUCCUCGUCUCAUACCCAGCCCAAGGCCACAUCAACCCGCUUCUCCAGUUGGCGAAGCGGCUCGCCGGCCACCGCGGCAUCCGCUGCACCCUCGCCGUGACCCGGUCCGUGCUCGGCAACUCCGGCGGACCAUCUCAGGCCGGCGCGGUCCAUAUCGCCGCCUUCUCGGAUGGGUGCGACCGGCAGGGCUACGAUGAGGUCGGCGAUGUGCAGACCUUCCUGGCACGGCUCGAGUCGGUCGGGUCGUCCACGCUGGACGAGCUCCUCCGCUCCGAAUCGGAGCAUGGCCGGCCGGUGCACGCCGUCGUGUACGACGCGUUCCUCCUCUGGGCGCCGCGUGUGGCACGGCGGCACGGCGCCAAGUGCGCGGCCUUCUUCACGCAGGCGUGCGCGGUGAACGUGGUGUACGCCCACGCGUGGGCAGGCCUUGUGAAACUCCCGGUGGACAAGCAGAACGCGCCGGCGCAGCUUCCUGGCCUGCCCACGAUGCUGUCGCCGGCCGACUUCCCAUCCUUCCUCACGGAUCCGGGCAGCAGCCCCGCUUACCUGCACCUGCUGCUGCAGCAGUGCGAAGGGCUUGAGGUGGCAGACUACAGUCUCAUCAACUCAUUUCACGAGCUGCAGCCCAAGGAAGCAGAGUAUUUGUCGUCGAGAUGGGGGGCCAAGGCGGUUGGCCCGAGCAUCCCGUCGGCGUACCUCGACAACCGCAUGGCCGACGACACGUCCUACGGCUUCCACCUCCACACUCCGAUGGCGGCGGAAAGUAUGGCUUGGCUAGACGACAGACCGGCGCGCUCUGUGGCGUACGUUUCCUUCGGCAGCCUCGCCAACGCCACGCCCGACCCGGCGCAGGUGGCCGAGGUCGCCGAGGGGCUGUACAGCAGCGGCCAACCCUUCGUGUGGGUCGUCAGGGCGUCCGAGACCUGGAAGCUGCCUGAGGGCUUCAUCGGCAAGGCCAUGGGGCGGGGGCUCUUCGUGACAUGGAGCCCGCAGUUGGAGGUGCUGGCGCACCCGGCCGUCGGGUGCUUCGUCACCCACUGCGGGUGGAACUCGACGAUAGAGGCCCUGAGCAUCGGCGUGCCCAUGGUCGCGGUGCCGCAGUGGUCAGACCAGCCGACCAACGCCAAAUACGUCGAGGACGUCUGGCACGUGGGUGUGCAGGUGAAAGGGGUGGUGACCAAGGAGGAGCUCGCGAGGUGCAUCAGAGAGGCCAUGGAUGAUGCCAAGGGCUACAGGACGAAUGCUGCAAGCUGGAGCCACAAGGCGAAGAAGGCCAUGAGUGAAGAUGGCAGCUCAGACCGCAACAUCGCCGACUUCCUUUCCAAACUUGGACCGAGCACAUAA